CGGCAUUAUGUCACAAAUGCUAUCAAUUGAUCUUAACAUAAAUUGAACCCAAUAUAUUCCUUUAAUUGUCCUCAGUAACAUUGCAUUGUUUAGUCAAUUUGAAUUUGUCUGUUCACUAAAUGCAAACAAUUUUGUUGUGAAAACGAAUCACUUCUUGUUCAGACAACUAUCAUUUCGCAAUACAAGAACUUUUAUCUUGUGUAUAUGGUUUUAAAGUAAUUUUACAUGAAGUUAACUGUUAUCUUUGCCUCUGAAGAAAGGAAUGUCUUGCAAGACAAUACUUACAGUUGUUUGAUAGAGACACACGAUAGACCUCAACCCUUAAUACACAAACCUCAAUAACGGUGACAAUCAAAAAAAGUAAAAUGAUGAUCUUUGAACAUCACCACACAACAAUUAACUAACAGUGGCAAAAAAACAACAACAACAAUAAUAGCAGAAAUUAAGUCAGCAAACAGCAAAAAAUAAGCCUAUAACACUAAGUGCAUAAUUUGUAUUCAUGUUGCAACUCACAAAUAAGAAAUUGUUAGUUCAGACAAAUCUGUAGGCUAGCUGGGACGACUUUUGGGGGGAAAUUGUUGGUAUAACAUGUGUUUUUAAGUAGAUGCAAAGUAAUCCACAUCUCGUAUUAUCUGUGACUAAAAAAAAACCAUAAGCUGGAUAAAAUGUAAUUUCAUUUUGUUUACAGUGGUGUUUACUUAUUUUCGGAUUUAGGAUUCUGUCACACACACUCAGAAGAGUCAUGAUUUUAUGCUUACAUUUUUGAUCUACGAACUAUGCUGCACUAAGAACGUUUUCUCCUAACAUUGUGAGAACUUUCAUCAAAUAAUAAUAGCAUCAUGAGGAUGUUCCAUUAAUGUGUUUUAAUGUCCAUUCCUAGCCUUUAUAUGAAAUAAGUUAUUGGAGCAUUCCCUGUUAGGUGAGCACAAUGGGGACAUCCAGGUAAAAAGACCUGUGAAAGAAGAUUUUUGAUCAGGCUACCUGCGUGAACAUCCCUUUUAGAUUUAUCACCACAAAUCGUCUCAUGUUGAAUAAACACAGUCCUAAAAGACCAUCUGGGUAUCAUGUUAAUCAAAUGUGACUCACAGCACCCUGUGUUUUUCAUAAGUGUAAAUGUCAAUCCGGACCAUGUAAAUGAUCUUUCUAGUCUGAGUGUCUGAUCUCCUGUCUGUGGUCUUUUGUUAAAUGGCAGUGUUGACAUAAGUGUGAGCUGACCUUAGUAAAGCAGAAUGCACAGAUACACACACAGGUAUAGUGCACAAGAUGACCUCCAGCAUUUACUAGUGACACUCAGUAGAGAUGAAAGCAGCCUACGGGCAUGAAGAGAGAAGGGGCUAAUAACAGAGCCUUCUGAUAUCUGAUCACAAAGGGCAGUUUUGCUCUGGCCCCUUUCUGCCUUUCAUUUACGUCUCUUUCUUCUUCUUUCUUGAACUUCUAGUAGUUAAGAAUGAAGACUGUAAACACCAUUGGAGAGCUGCUCAACAUCUUGAAGAAGAAUGUUCAUCUGAGUGUGUGAAUAUUGCGACUGCUAGCUUUCUUACUUUUUUGGUCUUGUUUUCCAGUAAAAAAUGUCUAAACAUCUUUUAAACAAGAUAUGUUUAUGUGAGAAGCAAAAUUACAUGUUAUUAAGUCUUUUUUUUUUUUUUUUUUGAGAAAUCAAACAAAGUUUGAACACAAGGGUGUUUGCCAAAAGGGUAAGAAAAAUCAACUUGUUUUCAAUUCGAAUUAAGCUUCUAAUUUGUCUUAUCUCAUUGGCAAAUAUUAUAUUUCUUGUUUCAAGCAUAAAUCUCACAAAAGUUUUGUAAGAUUUAUCUGAAACAUUCCAGAAAACGUCAAAAUAGUCAACAGUCAUUAAAGCAGUAGUUCACCCAAAAAUGUAAAUUCUCUCAUCAUUUACUCAACCUCAUGCCAUCCCAGAUGUGUUUGACUUUCUGUCUUCUGCUGAACACAAAUUAAGAUUUUUAGAAGAAUAUCUCAGCUCAAUCCAUAUUUUCAGAAGUGAUAUGCUAAGUGGGUAAGAAACAGAUCAAUAUUUAAGUCCUUUUUACUAUAAAUCUCCACUUUCAUGUUCACUUUAACAUCUUCUUUUGUUUUUUGGCAAUUAACAUUCUUCAUGCAUAUCGCCACCUACUGGCCAGAGCUGGUCAAAGGUGGAAAUUUAGAGUGCUUUCACACUUGGUUCGAUUGCUUGGAUCGAACCCGAGUUUGUUUCCUGCCCCUCCUGCUGCUCUCCGUGCUGGUCUCUGUUCACAUCAUAUUAUUUGGGUCCGAACUGCAGUCCGAUUACGUCAUCAACAACAACACUUGUGUUUGUCUCCCGUGGAUGCAUUGAAUGUGCAAUGAUGGGAUGAAUAUUAGCGUUUGUCUGCCACGAGCCCGCGGAUGCAUUGGAGGAGAUGUGAAGAAUGUGAGCUGCUCUCUGGAGGCGGUGUAUUUGGACGCAAGCAGAAAAAAAGAAAGUCAUACACAUCUGGGAUGGCAUGAGGGCCCCAGGCUCUUCUUGCUGCACAAUGUCUACCAGACAAUCCGUCUCUAUAGGAAAGCAGAAGAGAGAGAGAGAGAGAGAGAGAGAGAGAGAUCUGGUUGUGUUCCUCUGAUCUAAAUGUCACAGUCCUGAGCUCCUGUUCUUGAUCUUUGAUGCCAUCAGGACCUACUUGCAUCUGGGUGGGUUACUGAUAUACCACAAUAUUCUGUGGAUUCUGUGAUUGGAUUGUUCUAAGAGUUAAGCCAUGCUGUAAGUUAUUUUUGUACAGAUGCAAUCUGUGUUGGUUCAUUACUGAUGAAAUGUAAACUUUUAUAAACAUGUCUUUGAUCCUUUUUUUCUCCUUUGAGUGUAUUCAAAAUUAACUCUACGAAUAACAGUCUGGUUUUUUUUUUUUUUUUUUGUGUGAGUGUUUUCUUUUUUUUUUUUUAACAUAAUCUAUGUAAUCUUCAAGGACACAUCAAGCAGCUGGAUUGGAAAAGCGUUGUUUAAAAGAUAAUGUAUACUUCCACCUACUGGACAUAAACCCAUACUGCAAAAUACCUUCAUAAAAGGACUUUACUGUACAUUAAUAGCCUACUAUAAUCUAUUUCAAUAAAUAGGCCUUGAGCUAAAAAUUAAUAUAAUGAUUCUAUUACAUUAAUAAUUAUUCUAUUAAUAUAUGUAAAUAUAAUUUAUAUAAAUAAUAAUAAUUCAAAUAUAUAUAUUAAUUUUAUAUUUAUAUUUUUAUUUUUUUAUUUUUUUUUACACCUGGCAACUAAAUGUUUGGAAUAAUGUACAGAUUUUGUUCUUAUGGAAAGAAAUUGGUACGUUUAUUCACCAAAGUAGCAUUCAGCUGAUCACAAUGUAUAGUCAGGACAUUAAUAACAUGAAAAAUUACUAUUAUUAUUAUAAAAUUACUACAUAAACUACUUCAAAGAGUUCUCAUCAAAAAAAUCCUCCACGUGCAGCAAUGACAGCUUUGCAGAUCCUUGGCAUUCCAGCUGUCAGUUUGUCCAGAUACUCAGGUGACAUUUCACCCCACGCUUCCUGUAGCACUUGCCAUAGAUGUGGUUGUCUUGUCUGGCACUUCUCACGCACCUUACAGUCUAGCUGAUCCCACAAAUGCUCAAUGGUGUUAAGAUCCAUAACACUCUUUUCCAAUUAUCUGUUGUCCAAUGUCUGUGUUUCUUUGCCCACUCUAACCUUUUCUUUUUGUUUUUCUGUUUCAAAAGUGACUUUUUCUUUGCAGUUCUUCCCAUAAGGCCUGCACCCCUGAGUCUUCUCUUUACUGUUGAACAUGAAACUGGUGUUGAGCGGGUAGAAUUCAAUGAAGCUGUCAGCUGUGGACAUGUGAGGCAUCUAUUUCUCAAACUAGAGACUUUGAUGUACUUAUCCUCUUGUUCAGUUGUACAUCUGGCCUUCCACAUCUCUUUCUGUCCUUGUUAGAGCAGGUUGUCCUUUGUCUUUGAAGACUGUAGUGUACACCUUUGUAUUAAAUCUUCAGUUUUUUUGGCAGUUUCAAGCAUUGUAUAUUCCUCAAAACAAUGAUUGACUGAUGAGUUUCUAGAGAAAGCUGUUUCUUUUUUUGCCAUUUUUGACCUAAUAUUGACCUUAAGACAUGCCAGUCUAUUGCAUACUGUGGCAACUCAAAAACAAACACAAUGAUAAUGUUAAGCUUCAUUUAACGAACCAAAUAGCUUUCAGCAGUGUUUGAUAUAAUGGCAAGUGAUUUUCUAGUAUCAAAUUAGCAAUUUAGCAUGAUUACUCAAGGAUAAGGUGUUGGAGUGAUGUUCGCUGGAAAUGGGGCCUGUCUAGAUUUGAUCAAAAAUGACUUUUUUCAAAUAGUGAUGGUGCUGUUUUUUACAUCAGUAAUGUCCUGACUAUACUUUGUGAUCAGUUGAAUGACACUUUGGUGAAUUAAAGUACCAAUUUCCUUCCGAAACAGCAAAAUCUGUACAUUAUUCCAAACUUUUGGCUGCCAGUGUAUAUAGUAUACAGUAUAUGCUGUGUAUUUGUGUGUGUGUGUGUGUGUGUGUGUGUGUGUGUGUGUGUGUGUGUGUGUGUGUGUGUGUGUGUGUGAGUGUGUGUGUGUGUGUGUGUGUGUGUAAAAUAGUAAUAAUAUAUUUAUAUAAAUAAUUACAUUUGUAUUUAAUAUUUGUAUUUGUUUACAUUUUGUACAUUUCUUUUUAAUAUUUAGAAUUAAAAUCAUUUAUUUGAUUUAAUAUGAUAAUUUCUGUCACAGUGUUAUAAAUUCACUGCAGUUUUGUCAUGAAUCUCUGGAAUUCAGUUUACAGUCAACCCUAAAAUGUUUAAUUGAUUCACUCUGUUAAAGCUUGCAGUGAAUUUAUCUGAAUAUCUUGAUCAUAUAACAAGUAAGAGUGAGUGUAAAUACAUCAGAGGCACAAAAUGUUGGAUUUAACUUGUAAUUUUUAAAAAUGAACUUACAGUAAUAAUGAGAAAUAAUUUAAUAUAUUUAAGAUUCAGAGUUUACAACUUGAGGAAACUAUUCAUGUUCUAUAAAUAAUAUACAUUUACAUUAAGUCAUUUAGCAGACACUUUUAUCCAAAGCGACUUACAAAUGAGGAACAUAGCAAGCAAUUAAUAAAUUACUAAAUGUAUUAAUUUAAUAAUAAAUGAAUAUAGCAAGCAAUAAAUUAAUUUACCAGAUAGUUUCGAUUCAUUAAUUUAUUCAUUCAUUCAUUUAGUAAAAUGCAAUAGCAGUCCAGCACUGUAACAAGUUUCCUCAUCAAAUGUUAUGUGAACACUAUUCCAGGUUGUUCUUACAUAUUUCUGAAAUAUUUUUGUAGGCAGCAUCACAAAGCUUUGGUGUUGCUGCUAAACAACAUCAAAAGGAUGAUGUAACUAAUCAAUUUGUUCAUAAACAGAUUUAUGGGUAGAAGAGGAAAGCAGUGCCUCAAAAAAUGACCAGGAUCUUACUGUGUAACUGACAGGACUGCCUACCAGAGAGGGAGUGAAUAAAUGGAUGAAUAAAGAGAGAGAGAGCAUGUAUACUUCAGUGCCUCUUGAGCUCGUUAGUGGGAGAUAAACGAGACCGCCAGGGGAGCAGUACACACACACACACACACACACACACAUACACAGAAUCUCCAUUUCAAAUAUAUCUUGCUCUAUCUACCCAACAGCUCUCCCCUCUCUUCUCCCCUGCUAUAAAUGCCAGCUGCCCCCUGCUGUUAGUGAUGGUGUUUAUCUGCACAAGACCAACUACAGUCAUUAACUAGAACUACAGCAUCAUAUGAAACCAGUCGCACACUGGAGGACCCAAUCUCCCCCUCUCAAACAAUAAAUUAGUUGGCCUUCACAGCAGGGACAAUUAACGAGUAAUCCCCCUUUUCAUGCUAAUAAGACCUGCCAUCCCCAGUGUGUCCUACCAUCCGCUGCCUGAACCAUCCAGAGAAAUUAGCCUAAAUGAGAGGGCUGCCUGGCAGGGAGUUCCCCCUGAGUACCCUAGUGCAGUGGCCGGAGAGGGAGGGGGAAUCCUCCAGCGUAUUUUCCACCAGAUGCAGGAAACAGCAGCACUGAGAGUCUGUAUCCAAACCCAACCGCCCCUUCCACUCUUAAUGUAAGAGUUUCUAGAAUGCUCAAUAAGAAUGAGCUGACUUUGAAUUCUAGAACUGUUUGAAAAGUGUUCUAGAACUCAAACAAGGCAAGUUGCAAAAUGCAGUCGUUCUUCACUGGAGUAGUGCUAAUAUGCCUCUCUCCCUCAACAGUGUGACCACAGCACUAACCUAGAAAUCCCCAGCCAGCCAAUCAAAAUCGAGCAUAGACUGACUUCAGCUCUGUUCAAAUCCUUUAAACACUGGUGCUUCUUAAAAAAUAGUCCACCCAAAAAUGUAAAUCAUCUCAUCAUUUACUCACCCUCAUGCCAUCCCAGAUGUGUAUGGCUUCCUUUCUUCUACAGAACACAUACAAACAUUAUUAGAAGAAUUUAUCAGCUCUGUUGUUCCAUACAAUGCAAGGGAAUGGGUAGCAAAAGUCUGAAGCUCUAAAAGCCCAUAAAGGCAGCAUAAAAGUAAUCCAUAAGACUCCAGUGGAUAAAUCCAUAUCUUCAGAAGUGAUAUGAUAGAUGUGAGUGAGAAACAGAUUCAUAUUUAACCCUCCUAUGGUAUUGAAAAAAGACACCUCCCUUUGGUAUUCACGGCCAUUUUUGACCGGAAUGAUGAUGAUGAUGAUAAUGAUACCAUUUCUUCUUCCCUGAAGUAAGAACAAUAAAAUUAUACAUUUCUUUUGGAAUUUUAUGCUAUUUUGAUCUUAUUUACAUGUACAUUUCUAAAUUUUACCAUUCAUUUAAUUAGCAAAUAUUAUUAUUUUUUUUAAAAUUCAGAACCUACACUUUUAUAAGUUGAAACAUGAAGAAAAUUUGAGAAUGUGACGAAAUUGGAGGCAGAUUGCUGUCAUCUGGUGAACAAAAUAUAAAUAACAUGACUUGAAAACCAUGUCAUUCCAGUAACAGCCAGUAGAUGGCUGUGGCCACCUACUGUGAAGUCUGAUGGCUUGUUGUAACCUCAUUUUUAUAUUUUUUCACAAGAUAUGUAUUUGGCUAUAUAUUUAGACAUUAUCAAACUAUUAUUUGUCAAAGUUUAGCAUUUUAAAAUUGAUUUGAAGUGUCAGUUUUCGCAGUUAAUAUCAUUAUGCUUGCAAUUGAACCUGACCGUGGUGUUACAAAGAGAAGACACAUAAUAAGCAUUUUUCUACCAAUAAUUUAUUUAAUAAACAUAAAAAAACUGCAUAAUAAUGUCAAGAAAAUCAACAUCAAGAAACAGAAAUUAACUGAAAAUUCUGAAAAUUCAAUUAGAAUAUAAAACAUAAGAAUCAGAGUAAAUAUUUAGCAAUUUCAAACUUUCUAUAGUACAAGUGUGUGUGUGUGUGUGUGUUCUGCAUUGUAAGUGUGUUAUCGUCUCAUCCCUUCAUUUCUGAGUGUGUGUGUUUAGCAAUAUGACUGAUUUAUUGUUGUUGUUUUUUUUUUGUUGUUUUUUUUUUACAAAUGUAAAAGGCUCUGUGUUGUUGCUCACCAGUUCAUUUUUGUGUGUGUGUAAGUGUGUUUUUGUGAGAGGGUGUGUACAUUUUGCACUGAGGAUGUUAUAGAGUAUCACCCUGUAAUUUCUAUGUGUUUUUUUUCUGCAUUGUGGCUGAUUUAUUGAUUUUAUUUGACAGAUAAAAAAAUA